rnacentral:rRNA from 1 species
CCUACGGGGGGCAGCAGUAGGGAAUUUUCGUCAAUGGGCGCAAGCCUGAACGAGCAAUACCGCGUGAACGAGGAAGGUCUUCGGAUCGUAAAGUUCUGUUGAAGGGGAAAAAGAGCGGAGAGAGGAAAUGAACUCCGAUUGAUAUUACCCUUCGAGGAAGUCACGGCUAACUACGUGCCAGCAGCCUCGGUAAUACGUAGGUGGCGAGCGUUAUCCGGAAUGAUUGGGCGGAAAGGGUGCGUAGGCGGCCUGCUAAGUCUGGAGUGAAGGGUACCGGCUCAACCGGUACAGGCUAUGGGAACUGGGGGGCUAGAGGGCAGGAGAGGGAGGUGGAAAUCCAUGUGUAGCGGUAAAAUGCGUAGAUAUAUGGAAGAAAACCAGUGGGGAAGGCGGCCGCCUGGCCUGUUGACUGACGCUGAGGCACGAAAGCGUGGGGAGCAAAUAGGAUUAGAUACCCUUGUAGUC